rnacentral:rRNA from 1 species
UACGAAGGGGGCUAGCGUUGCUCGGAAUCACUGGGCGUAAAGGGUGCGUAGGCGGGUUUUUAAGUCAGAGGUGAAAUCCUGGAGCUCAACUCCAGAAUUGCCUUUGAUACUGAGAAUCUUGAGUAUGGGAGAGGUGAGUGGAACUGCGAGUGUAGAGGUGAAAUUCGUAGAUAUUCGCAAGAACACCAGUGGCGAAGGCGGCUCACUGGCCCAUAACUGACGCUGAGGCACGAAAGCGUGGGGAGCAAACAGG